rnacentral:lncRNA from 1 species
AACUCUUGUCCCCAAUACAAUCAACUCCUAUUGUAAAUGUAUACAAAGAUGUCAGGUGAUGACAAUUGUUUAUAAUAAUAUCUUUGUGCAUUCGAAAACAGAUGGAAAGUUAAAACAUUGGAGACUGUACAAAAAUGUGUGUGAGAACUUGGGGUGCAGCGGUCCAACCAGCAUGGGCGGUUCAACUAGAACAAGCAGUCAAGAAAAGUGCAUUGAAAGGAAAACUAUGGUGUCUCAGCUGUCUCUUCCAUCGUCCACCUCCGUUAAAAAAUCUAUUGUUAAUUGAUUUUGACGAUUAAUUGCCAUAACCAACUGUUGAAUUAUCUACAUUCACCUUCUGGUUGUUCUCAU